rnacentral:rRNA from 1 species
UACAGAGGGGGCAAGCGUUGUUCGGAAUUACUGGGCGUAAAGGGUGCGUAGGUGGUUUGCUAAGUCAGGGGUGAAAUCCCGCGGCCCAACCGUGGAACUGCCUUUGAUACUGGCGAACUUGAGUGCGUGAGGGGUAACCGGAACGAGCAGUGUAGCGGUGAAAUGCGUAGAUAUUGCUCGGAAGGCCAGAGGCGAAGGCGGGUUACUGGUACGCAACUGACACUGAGGCACGAAAGCGUGGGGAGCAAACAGGG